GAUGAACGCUGGCGGCGUGCCUAAUACAUGCAAGUCGAGCGAACGGACGAGAAGCUUGCUUCUCUGAUGUUAGCGGCGGACGGGUGAGUAACACGUGGAUAACCUACCUAUAAGACUGGGAUAACUUCAGGAAACCGUAGCUAAUACCGGAUAAUAUUUUGAACCGCAUGGUUCAAAAGUGAAAGACGGUCUUGCUGUCACUUAUAGAUGGAUCCGCGCUGCAUUAGCUAGUUGGUAAGGUAACGGCUUACCAAGGCAACGAUGCAUAGCCGACCUGAGAGGGUGAUCGGCCACACUGGAACUGAGACACGGUCCAGACUCCUACGGGAGGCAGCAGUAGGGAAUCUUCCGCAAUGGGCGAAAGCCUGACGGAGCAACGCCGCGUGAGUGAUGAAGGUCUUCGGAUCGUAAAACUCUGUUAUUAGGGAAGAACAUAUGUGUAAGUAACUGUGCACAUCUUGACGGUACCUAAUCAGAAAGCCACGGCUAACUACGU
rnacentral:rRNA from 1 species